CUUUCCCUUUUCCCGCUACCCUGUGACUGGGUUCCAAUCUAACAUUUUCUUUGUUACGCAGCUGUCUGGCUGCCUGAGAGUUCUCUCACUAUCACUCUUAUCUUACUCUAGCUGAUGUAUUUCCGCCGUGACCGAGCCAACUUGAUGUUAAAACACAACAAGCAUACCCCUCAGUACACCUGUAAAAUAGUAAGACACCCCUUACACCUUCCUUGAUUUCAAAUGUAUUGAUCAGGUCUCUCCUUUAAGUCAAGGCACAUCAACGAAGUCAAAAUCUGAAGUAGUUCUUAGUUCUUGGGAAAUCAACUUCCUCUGUGUCAACUGCCUAGACAAAGCUGCAUCAUGCAUUCCGCUUUAAGACCGUCUGUUCUGUUAAGUCACAAAAAGGCCAUACAUAAUAUAUACACACACACACAUUUUUUGUAAAUUCCUCGUACACACAAGUUGCUAAAAACGUUCUUAACUCUUUUUGAUAUCCACACGCUAUUUCCCUCCUCCUUCUCAUCGAUUGGUUAGUGCAUCGCCCUGGGCGCGCCCUGCAUCCCUGGAAACAACCUCCAACCGUGCUGUGAGGUACUUGGUCAGCACUGCAUCAGGAACCCGUUCGUUCCAGGAACAUUCACAUGCCAAGUUUCAGCGUCCUGUCUCCCGGUGAACACCCCAUGUGUACCGAACAACCCGGCGCCCAGUUUGAGAUGUUGUACUGACCAAAGUCAACAGUGUUUGCCCAACCCUAUCCUACCUGGACAGUUUGCUUGCCAGGUGGCGCCUCUGUGCCUGGCCAUCAACAGCCCCUGUAUCCCCGGGAAUCAAGUACCUGGCCAGACCUGCUGCUCGUCCCAAGGACACGAAUGUGUGCCAAACCCUAUACUGCCAGGUCAGUUCGCGUGUCAGCUGACUGGUGGACAGGCUAUAGGGUGCAUCGGUGUGAACCUUCCGUGCCUCCCUAACGCUGUCCAACAGGAAAAUCGCUGCUGUCAAAGUAAAGGCCUCACUUGUCAGACAAGCAAGCUCGUACCUGGCCAAUUCUCUUGUCAACAAGGACCCGGGG